CUUAUUUUCUUAUUCUUUCUUGAAGGAGGUUUCUCUUCCUAAAAGUAUGAAGAGGACUUGUACGGUAAUAACCACACAACCACACAAGUGUGUCGGGGUCCCUAGUGGAAAGAAAACAGUAUGGAACAGUGAUCGCACUGCCGCCCUGGUGCGGCUGGAACUGAGGCUGCUGCUGCGACCUAAUGAAGGAAACAUUGCUGGUAAAGCGGCAUCUGAAGAUUGCCAUCCAUUGUUUGACCGAAAUUCCACAUGGUUGUAUUGGUGUCUCGUUGAGUUUCAUAGUUCAUCUGAAUGUCCGUGUGGCCUUAUUGGUGUCUCCGAAGUUCAAAGUUCAUUGUGCUUCUCAGAACGUUUUGUUCUUUUUAUAGGUGCCAGCUCCAGCAGAGGAGAAAAGGAUUGCUGCUUGCCUGAUUGGGGAGCUGAUUUUGUACCUGAUGACGUCCUUGGCCAAAAAAGACUUACUGAGGCCUUUUGAAAGCCUGUGCGCGUUCUAUGACCAGGAGGAUCAAAGGAAGAAGGAAGAAAAGAACAAAGAAAUCGCAAAUAUAAUGUCAGAUGGAAUGAUGAAGAAAGACCUCUAUUAUAGUACUAUCAAGCGAUCACAUGUGAAGUCCUUGUCUGGUUAAUCUUUUCAAUUAGCGAUCUCUGAAUUGAUUGCAAUUAGUCCAUUCGGGACAUACUUUUACAUUCUGAGAUGACAACAUGUAGAAUGAACAAGAUGCAUAAUGAAGAUCCCAGGAAUGCUUUUCUGCACUAAUCUUGAUUUUUAUUUGGUCUUUAAGCUGGAUUCUACCAGCCUGGAACACUUACAUCUAUGAUUUUGUCAAACGAGUAAAAUGCACGUGUUUUACUCAAAAUCUAGCUCCCACUUUUUCCCCAAAUCAGUUUCUUUGAAUUUCAAUCCAGACCUUCUCCCUCUAACUUCACCUCACCCCUCCCGCUUGGUUCCCUUUGCUCGGUUGCUGUCUGCCGCCUGCCGUCUACCAUCUGCAUUCGAGGUCACCGAGUUCAUUCUGCGAGGUACUUCUGUAAGCCAAGUUUAUAUUUUUGAGGCCGUGUGAAAAAUAUUUCGUUACUUCAUAAGAAAUGUCUAGGAAUGAUUUGACACCACAUGGAUUUUGCUAUUUUUGGUGGCAAAUAUUUCCUCGACCUGGGCUUUUCCAAACAAACAGAUGCUAACUUUGUUCCUUCAAACUUGAGAGAUAUCUUUUCUUCACAAAAGGUUUCUAUAUCUAGGAGAUCUUGACGAAUGAUUAUGUUUUUCAGUUAAUUUUUGUGACCUGUGAUUAAUUUAGGAUUAAACUAUUUAUUUCCCUCAAGUCCGACAGUCUGGUUUUGAUAAUGCUCGAAUAGAUUAAGGUACCUAAUUAAUUCCUUGCCACCCAUCCAAAUUAGUUUGAAAUGAGUACUUUCGUAUAGGCAGGCAUGCAUUUGUGGAAGUGAGUAUAUCAUAGAAUUUUGUGAGAGGUAUGUGUUUUCUUAGUUUUUUUGGAAAGUAAUUAUUCUGGUGGUUAUUUAAAUGUAACUUGAAGGUAUGAUUACAUUUAAAGAAUGAUGAAAGGUUUCCUGAAUUUAAAUGGGAGAAAAGGGCCAGGCGCUAGCUAGAAAUAUUGCAAUUUGGCAUGAUAUAGUGAAUGCUACACCUUCGAAAUUCACACUUCCCUUGACACUCAUUCCAAUUGCAAGCAAAAAGUAAAAUUCUCAUCUUAUACUGAACUUUUGCCCAGCUAAAUGCAUUGGAUUUGAUUGGCUCAUCAAAUGGAAGAGAAAGAAAAGUUGAAGUUGCUAGCCAUCAGAUUCCAAUGCUUCUCCCUAAUCCCAAGUACUCAUCAAGGCAAACUGUUUAAUUUCUAAUGCUUUAAAUUAAGAGAAUAGUUGUAUGUGGUUAUAAACUAAUUAGAUAGAUAUGACCCUCGAGCUUGGCAUCUAUCCAAUUGAGACAUGGAUGGACCCUAUAUUAAUUAUUUAGUCUAGUUGUAUGUGGAGUUGCGUUUUUGUGAUGCAUGUAUUAAUUAUUUAGUCUAACUUUAUGGUGAUCAUCUUUUAAAACUUGUUAAAUUGUGAGUGUCAAAUGUAACUGUAGUUAGUUUGAAGAAGUUUGCUUUAACUUAAUUUAUUUCUUGUAAUGUCGAUCUAAAAACUCAAUUGAAAUAGCGUGAUGAACAAAGAGGAAGAUAAAAGGCCACCCAGGCGUUCUACCCCAAUUCCACCGGCUCAGGGAUAUUAUGGACCAGAAAAUGCUUACUAUCCACAAUUUAUGAUGCAUCCCAAGUUGUUGGUGCUAACGUUGAAGAUGUUGUUAUUGGAACCCAAUGCAGUACUGUCACACAACAAACGGGCAAUGAUAAGAUGUGAAAUUGUGGGUUGAAAAUCAUUAUUCUAUUUUGAUGGAUUUCUUGAAGUAUUUUGUGAAAAUUUGGAUACUUUUUUUUGGAGGUUAUGGUUGUAAAUAAUGUACAGAUUUCUUGGUGUUAUUCUUGUAUGAAAAUCAUUGUUCUAUUUUUUAUGGCUUUCUUGAA